ACGCUGGCGGCGUGCCUAAUACAUGCAAGUCGAACGAAACUUUCUUACACCGAAUGCUUGCAUUCACCGUAAGAAGUUGAGUGGCGGACGGGUGAGUAACACGUGGGUAACCUGCCUAAAAGAAGGGGAUAACACUUGGAAACAGGUGCUAAUACCGUAUAUCUCUAAGGAUCGCAUGAUCCUUAGAUGAAAGAUGGUUCUGCUAUCGCUUUUAGAUGGACCCGCGGCGUAUUAACUAGUUGGUGGGGUAACGGCCUACCAAGGUGAUGAUACGUAGCCGAACUGAGAGGUUGAUCGGCCACAUUGGGACUGAGACACGGCCCAAACUCCUACGGGAGGCAGCAGUAGGGAAUCUUCCACAAUGGACGCAAGUCUGAUGGAGCAACGCCGCGUGAGUGAAGAAGGUCUUCGGAUCGUAAAACUCUGUUGUUAGAGAAGAACACGAGUGAGAGUAACUGUUCAUUCGAUGACGGUAUCUAACCAGCAAGUCACGGCUAACUACGUGCCAGCAGCCGCGGUAAUACGUAGGUGGCAAGCGUUGUCCGGAUUUAUUGGGCGUAAAGGGAACGCAGGCGGUCUUUUAAGUCUGAUGUGAAAGCCUUCGGCUUAACCGGAGUAGUGCAUUGGAAACUGGAAGACUUGAGUGCAGAAGAGGAGAGUGGAACUCCAUGUGUAGCGGUGAAAUGCGUAGAUAUAUGGAAGAACACCAGUGGCGAAAGCGGCUCUCUGGUCUGUAACUGACGCUGAGGUCGAAAGCGUGGGUAGCAACAGGAUAGAU
rnacentral:rRNA from 2 species